GCGUCCUGACCUCAUCCCAACUGUCCCCCCUCACCGGAGCUGUGGUGGGGGAGGUCUGGGGGUGGACGCAGAUCAACUGACCUCUCAUGUUAGGAGGGCUGCCAAAGACAUGUGCAUGCCCUUAAAGGCAAGAGAGGACACU
ensembl:scaRNA small Cajal body-specific RNA 11